GACGAACGCUGGCGGCGUGCUUAACACAUGCAAGUCGAACGAAGUGGCGAACGGGUGAGUAACGCGUAAUCAACCUGCCCUUCAGAGGGGGACAACAGUUGGCAACGACUGCUAAUACAGCAUACUGAAGGAGGGGAUUGCGUCUGAUUAGCUAGUUGUCGGGGUAACGGCCCACCAAGGCGAUGAUCAGUAGCCGGUCGGAGAGGAGUAACGGCGACAUUGGGACGGAGACACGGCCCAGCCUCCUACGGGAGGCAUCAGUGGGGAAUCUUCCGCAAUGGACGAAAGUCUGACGGAGCAACGCCGCGUGAGUGAUGAUGGCCUUCGGGUUGUAAAGCUCUGUUAAUCGGGACGCGGUACCGGAAUAGAAAGCCACGGCUAACUACGUGCCAGCAGCCGCGGUAAUUC
rnacentral:rRNA from 1 species